rnacentral:tRNA from 73 species
GGUCUGGUAGUUCAGUUGGUUAGAAUGCCUGCCUGUCACGCAGGAGGUCGCGGGUUCGAGUCCCGUCCAGACCGCCA